rnacentral:rRNA from 1 species
GAUGAACGCUGGCGGCGUGCCUAAUACAUGCAAGUCGAGCGAACAGACGAGGAGCUUGCUCCUCUGACGUUAGCGGUGGACGGGUGAGUAACACGUGGAUAACCUACCUAUAAGACUGGGAUAACUUCGGGAAACCGGAGCUAAUACCGGAUAACAUGUUGAACCGCAUGGUUCAACAGUGAAAGACGGUCUUGCUGUCACUUAUAGAUGGAUCCGCGCCGCAUUAGUUAGUUGGUAGGGUAACGGCUUACCAAGGCAACGAUGGGUAGCCGACCUGAGAGGGGGACCGGCCACACUGGAACUGAGACACGGCCCAGACUCCUACGGGAGGCAGCAGUGGGGAAUUUUGGACAAUGGGCGAAAGCCUGAUGGAGCCAUGCCGCGUGAAGGAAGAAGGCCUUCGGGUUGUAAACUUCUUUUGUAAGGAAAGAAAAGAUGUGGAUUAAUACACUGGGGUCAUGACGGUACCGAAGAAUAAGCCCCGGCUAACUACGUG